rnacentral:rRNA from 1 species
UACAGAGACUGCAAGCGUUGUUCGGAUUCACUGGGCUUAAAGGGUGCGUAGGUGGUUGCGUAAGUAAGGUGUGAAAUCCCUCGGCUUACCCGGGGAAUUGCAUUUUAUACUGCGUGGCUUGAGGACUAAAGGGGAAAAGGGAACUCCAGGUGUAGCGGUGAAAUGCGCAGAUAUCUGGAGGAACACCGGUGGCGAAGGCGGCAUCCUGGACCAAGACUGACACUGAAAAGCGAAAGCCAGGGGAGCAAACGGG